CAGUCGCCGCGGUAAUACGAAGGGGGCUAGCGUUGCUCGGAAUUACUGGGCGUAAAGGGAGCGUAGGCGGACUGUUUAGUCAGAGGUGAAAGCCCAGGGCUCAACCUUGGAAUUGCCUUUGAUACUGGCAGUCUUGAGUACGGAAGAGGUAUGUGGAACUCCGAGUGUAGAGGUGAAAUUCGUAGAUAUUCGGAAGAACACCAGUGGCGAAGGCGACAUACUGGUCCGUUACUGACGCUGAGGCUCGAAAGCGUGGGGAGCAAACAGGAUUAGAUACCCGAGUAGUCCCUGUCUCUUAUAA
rnacentral:rRNA from 1 species